rnacentral:rRNA from 1 species
AUUGAACGCUGGCGGCAGGCCUAACACAUGCAAGUCGAGCGGAUGAAGGGAGCUUGCUCCUGGAUUCAGCGGCGGACGGGUGAGUAAUGCCUAGGAAUCUGCCUGGUAGUGGGGGAUAACGUCCGGAAACGGGCGCUAAUACCGCAUACGUCCUGAGGGAGAAAGUGGGGGAUCUUCGGACCUCACGCUAUCAGAUGAGCCUAGGUCGGAUUAGCUAGUUGGUGGGGUAAAGGCCUACCAAGGCGACGAUCCGUAACUGGUCUGAGAGGAUGAUCAGUCACACUGGAACUGAGACACGGUCCGGACUCCUACGGGAGGCAGCAGUGGGGAAUAUUGGACAAUGGGCGAAAGCCUGAUCCAGCCAUGCCGCGUGUGUGAAGAAGGUCUUCGGAUUGUAAAGCACUUUAAGUUGGGAGGAAGGGCAGUAAGUUAAUACCUUGCUGUUUUGACGUUACCAACAGAAUAAGCAUCGGCUAACUUCGUG